rnacentral:rRNA from 1 species
GUCUACGGCCAUACCACCCUGAACGCGCCCAAUCUCGUCUGAUCUCAGAAACUAAGCAGGGUCAGGCCUGGUUAGUACUUGGAUGGGAGGAAUGACUGGAGAGAGA